CAACCCUCAAGCCCGGCUUGGUGUUGGGCCCUGCCCGUGGUGGCUGGCCCUAAAGACAGUGGCGGUGCCGCCUGGCCCUCAGCGUAGUACAACUCUCGCUCCAGGGUCCGGUGGUGGCCUGUCAGAACCCCCAACUCUGU
rnacentral:misc_RNA from 1 species